AUCAGUGGGAGACGCUGCACCCCAGGAGAUGUGCAGGUGAAAAGGGGGCUCUUGCCAAAACUCUUUUUGGAAAACACACGUCUUUGAAAAAGUGACCACCUCUGGGUUCCUCCUAGGGUGGCAGGAAUGGUCAGCUGUCACGGCCUGGUAGGAAGUACACGGCCAAAGGUCAAAGGGGAAAACAUUUCAGAGAGAAUCAUUCCUGGCUUACCGAAUUUCCUCACGAACGUAUCUGGACCUAGGUCUUAUUCAAGACACUGAGAACUUAGUGGGCAUCUUCAGUCCAAAUGCAUUGGUCCUUUAAUGGUGAUUUUGACAGAUCACAGAAAAAUGUCGAGGUAGAAAGAAAGGAGCUCUGAGAAUAACAGGCUUGGAGUGCUAUGCGUAGAGGCUGGGGUCCAUGCCACCAGAUGUUAUUUCUGAGGUCAGCAGAGGCCUGCCUCUCCCUGUGGAGAUGACAGCUGCAUCCCCACCACUGUUCUACUCCGUGGCCACCCCUCACCCUUGGUGGUGCCCGGAUGGAUCCUUCCUCUCCUCUCAUUUGUGAAAUGAGACACGGGGCAAAGGCCCGGAGGGACUGUCGGGCUAGCAUGCCAUGUCUGUGUCUUGAGUGAGCGUGCCCCACCCCAGGAAUGAGCUCCAGGACCAGCUCCAGGCCAUCUCUCCCCCAGCAGCCGAGG